rnacentral:lncRNA from 1 species
GUCAGCGGUCCGAGCCGAAGGCGGGGAGGGUGGAGAGAAGGCUCGUCUCUGCGCCCGGCGGCCGCCCGGUGGGUGGCUGCGUUACUGUGGCCCGGAGCCCGACAGAGGUGCGUGUCAGGGGCUCGGGAGGCCUUUCCCGUUGCGCCACGCCGCCCUUCCGCCCCGGCGAGCGCCUUCGAGACCUGGGGCUAUUUGGGAACAAAGCCCUAGGCCCCGGGGCUGGCUCCCCUCGCGCGCUCCCGUCCUACCUGCGUGGAGCAGCCCGAGGCUGAACAGCAGCAGCAGCAGCAGCUCCAGCGGCGGGGGGCAGAGCCCGGGGCUGCGGCGCUGCUCAACCUCGGCGGCGGCAGCGGCGGCGCUGGAAGGUGCUGCUCUCAAGCCCAUGCCCGUCCAUGCAGGUCUCGUGGGCUCCGGCGAGGGCGGCGGCGCGGGCGCCGUGGCGGGUCUGGGCCCGUGGCUGCGGCAUGGGCCGGGGGGCGCGCUUCGCUUCCUCUUCUUCCUUCUUCAGGCCCGUGUAGCAGAUGGGGCGCCACCACCGCCGCAGCAAGCAGCGCGCAGCCGGCGCAGCCAGUCCGCGGCGGCAGCAGCGGGGCGCAGGGGCAUCGUGGCGGCCGGAGGCGGCAGGCAGGGAAAGGGGCGGAAGAGAAGACACAAAGACCGUGAGCGACUGCUGAGACGAGUCCCGAGCGCGCCGGCACCCCGGCCCCAGCCAGCGUGGGCUCGGCGGGCGUGGACCUCCAAGAGGCUGGCCCAGCCCUAGCGACCACCCACCGGCGGCCCGGAUAUCUCUGCGCGGCAGCCCCCGCGGUCGAUCAAUCUCAGUCCCGCACUGCCGUCCCGCCCCGCCCUGUGCCCGCCAAUCCACGACGCCAUAAUCCCCCGCCGUGUCCCUCCCUUCCUCCCCAUUGGUUGUGACCGCACGUCAGCCCGACUCAGCCUGCCAAUCGCAGGACCCAGAGGGCCCUCUCCCCCGCCCGCUCAGUGUAAUUCGAGUUCCCUGUCCAUCGACUCCAAGUCCUCUCUCCUGCGCCGCAUGCUGCCUCGCGCUCCCUUUCCUUCCCCCUCUACCCCCUUCCGCGAUUUACUGUUUCCUCGCGCCCAACAGAAAUGGGCGACCGCAAGUCUUACUCUCGCCGGCGUUACAAAGGUACCGGCCUUUGACCUCUCCUUGAAUUAAUGUGAUCCGAUUCAUCUUCCCUCCAAGUUUUUUUUUUAAUUUAAUUACCCCUCCCUGCCCUGGCCCUGCCAGCUUCAGCUCCACCUCCUUGGAGGAAGCAGGCGCUUUUACAGAGCGCCGCGCGGCAGGUCCCCUUUCAGCCAAUCACAUCUGCGGAACCGCGUUCCGAGUCGUUUGAGGGUGUCUGGUAAAGCAAGCUCGGGGCGGUGUUGGAAAUCUGAAUGUCACCCGCGGUCCGGAGCAGAUAGGAUGGGCUGGGAAGGUACCCGCGAACUGCCGCCGGAAUUCGCUGGCAGCUGUGCGAGGCUCAGGUGUUCUAGUUUGACAUUUCCCUUCCUGAAAGCGGCAAGGAGAGGUCUAAGAGUGGGCAAACUUCAACGUUCGGUUACAGUGUAAUUAAUGAGAGUGGUGGGUUUUUAUGCAGUGUAAUUAUGCCACGAUUUGUUGUUGCUCAGUGGCUUUUUCACAAAUUUCUACAGAUUAUUUAAAUUUUCCACAAAUUUCUACGGAUUAAUUCAAUGGCAGCUCACUUUCUCCUUUUAUGAUCGGAUGGGUCCGAAAGUGAGGAAAAAGACAAUUGUCUACAAAGAAAGAGGCUGCCAAGUGGAGACAGAAAAGCAGUUAUGAGACUGAUGAUAGAUUCCAAUUUGUUAUCGGUAGGUGUGAAGUGGUAUCUAAUCUCAAGAAUGACCUCAAGGCUGAGAGACACUUGAUACCGCCCUCGCCUUUGCCUUUCCCCAAACAGCACAGGGUUGCCAUUUAAAAUCCACUAACAUCCAAAUCGUAGUUGGCAACUGUACCCGCUAUGUUACUCAGAAUCUCUAAUUAGGAAUUUCUUAUCAACCACGGACAUGCUGAUAUUCCACACAUGUUUAAAUGAGCUAAUCAAUGGACUAGGAUAAUUGAGGGGCAAACCUUCAGUCUCACCAGCUCACUUAUUAGACACAUUUUGAAUUGCCCAAACCACUAGGUCCCUAAUGAAGGAUGCCUAUCUGUUUUUACUGUAACUUUUCAUUACUUACUUGUUACAUACUAUGAUGACUUAAGGGGUAAACACACCUUUCACUAUCCACAAUAUAAUCCAAGCCUGUGUAUAUCCAUAAUACGCUUAAUAAUAGCUUCACAGUUGCCUGGAGAAAUGACUUUUGGGGAGGAAGUUAUAUGACAUUUUUAGAUAAUGCUGCGGACUAAGUAUUAUUAGAGCAAAAAUUUACUAUCUUGCAAUUACUUCAUAUAAUUAGAUACAGUUCAUGACAUACUAAGAAGCAUCUUAAAAAAGUAAUCAAACAUAAUACUGAUUUUCAAAGUAUUUGGCUAACAAAGACUACAUUUUUUUCUCUUAACCCAAGAUUUAAUUCGACCCCUAUAAAAGCAGCAUCUCACUUUAUUGAUCAUACUUCAAAGCAUAUACUCAAUAGUUAAGGAUCAAUAAUUUCUGUUUGGUUUGGGUCUUUCCACUCGUGACUUUCUAUGAUUUUUUACUCCCCUCCCCCUAUAUCCUGUUCCAUAAGUACACGGGUGCUCUAGAUUUUCCUAUCAAUAGAGGGCGUCCUCGAGUCAUUGCAAAUCCUGGUGUCGUUAAACGGAACUGUUCUUCAGAGGAAAAACUUCAUCUCUAUAAGGUGCUUUAUUGCUCCUCUGUUGUAAAAUUUGACAAGCUCGAGAUUUAUAAGCCUAACAAUUCACUUUUUAUUGCUGCAUAAGUGUUCAGCCGCUAGAGGAAAAUGCUAAUUUUCACAAGUAAACCGCAAGGUGGUUCCUAUUUUCAAGACAUAGGUCAGUUGACACACUCGCGGGUAAAUUCGUACUGUUCACAAGAUCAGGAAUUGGCUUGGAAAGCAAGAGCGUAGUGAAUAGUCGCUUAUACCGCAGCCACUCCUCAAGCCCGUGAGCUGCAAGUUACAAACGACUUUAUAUUGUACAAAGAAAAAUCGGGGAGGGAGCUAGAACACAAACAAAAAAAUCGGUGACUUAUAAAAGUUUUAUGUUUUAAUCAGAAAAAAAAUCAUGAAGUGGCUGAUGACUUGUGUAAUUCACACAUCCACCCUGUUUCUUGCCACUGGUACUCUUUCUCCCUUUCUCUUUGUUUUCAGAAAGGAAGGAGGAGACCUGAACAGUACAUCCGGAGAAUCCAGCAAAGCAUACUACGGCAUGAACGUGCAAGUGGACAGAAUUAAAACACAUGCCAGAAACACUAAUGGAUUCUAAACAAGAUGCAGUUUCAUUUCCUGAGCCUAUACGUGAUGUUUUUAACUGUUCUCCAGUUAAUAUGUCUCCAUUUCCAGAAAUCUAACAGGAGAAUCUCUGACUGCUUAACAGAUCACCUAAGCUUGCGAUUUGUGCAAUCCUUUCUAGAGUAAGGGCUCCCCGGCUGCUCCCCGGCCACUGUGUACCCAAAGCAGCGGCUGAAAUAGCCCGGAGUCCAACAGCUCAGCGUCAAGCAGCUCGUGGUUUGUACUUACAUCAUUUUUUUUUUCAGAGCAAGAGUGAAAGUUUAUUAAAAAGCGUUAGAACAGUAAGGAAAGGAAAGGAGAGAAAAUAAGGAAAGUACAACUUGGAAGAGGGCCAAGCGGGCGACUUGAGAAAUCAAGUGCCUGUACUUACAUCAUUCUUAACCCUUUCGCUCCUGGAGGGGGCUCAGCGGGAUCAGGGGGCCCCUGAACUUCGGAACACGCAGGACCUGGGUGUGAGAGAAGAGUCCCAAAGCUUGGCGUGAGCAAUGCACUCGCGGAGGGAGAGAGCCCGGGGCUUGCGGGGGGCUCAUCACCCGCUCGUAGACAACGGGCCCCCGCAAUCCCUGCGGGCUCCGCCGCUGCUCUCACCGCUCAAAACGGCAGGUGCAAAAAGCAUUUGGGAGCCGCUUGCCAGCGCGCGGAGGUAAUGCGCUUCCUGUCCAUUUAUCUCAGGAAACCAGUGCAGCCUUCCCUUCGAAACAAAAUUAACCUCUCAUUAGCCAGCCACUCGCUCCCAAGAAGGCCUUAAAAGCUUUACCAGCUCGCUAAUGUAUUUAGGCUUUUCUUCCAGGCAAACGCAGCCGCCGGUCUUGACUGCCAUCGCCCAAGGGGUUCCUCUGGGCUCUCCCGCGAGCCAACAGCCGACCUCUCUCCAGCCUAGUCUGGGAAACUCCAGCCAACCCAGGAUCCCAUUUUGUAGUCCCGGGCAGACCCGAAACCCCUGAAAGAACUCCACUCCAGAAGACGCCAGAACAAGUUCCCACGAAUUUCAUGGGCGCCCUUCACAUGAAAACCUCAGCUCCCCUAUCCUCAAGGAACGGGGAAGGGCGCCGGGGAGGGACUUCGGUGGCCAGCUGUCCCUGGGUCGUGGGCGCUGUUUGCUCUGCGGAGCGCCAGCCCUGCACACAGCGGGUGCGGGAAGCGUUGAUGGGAGGCUGGAGGGCGGGGUGAGCGUAAACUAGGAUCUAGCCGGUUCCAGGCGUGGAGAAUCAAAUGUGGUCCUAGAUCUGUAAGUUGCGAAAAGGGGCUUUUGGGAGCGUCAGAGCUUUCUCACUCCGGUCCCCCGCCGCCUUGAGGCUGGCAGAUUUAUACCCCACAGGUGGAUGGAGACCUAAACAAAACAGUCCCGGCCGCUGCCUGCCGCUCGCCCCCCACGUCCCCCGGGCCCACCGCAAACUUCAACAAAAUAAACAACUCACCACAGGCAUUCCCUUGUCUGCAGCGCGACGCUUGCCAGCUGGGAAAAUAAGCCGCAAGCCACGCGGCCGAGGCGCGGAGGGAAGGCAGCGCGGCGCCCGCCCCUCUCCCCCAGGUGGGGGGCAGCGCGACUCGGGGCGGGAGGGAGGCUCCGCCUCGGGGGCCGCUCUCCCAGUUCUCCGACUCCAGAAUGAGCUCUGGGAGAGGAGCUGCGCCCUUCCAGCUAGCCCGAUUUCUCCGCCAUCUAGGGGAGAGGGCGGGGAGCCAAAUCCCUCAGCCCCCCGCACCCCAGCAGCUUCCUCCAGGCAGCUUUCUCCCCAGUCAGCCUCAAAUAGAGGUGAACAGAGACCCUCCUCUCCCCCCGGCAACCCCUAUAUCGCCACACUGCCCCCUGCCGGCGCUAUCCGGCUCAUUCCGGCACUGCGGACGGCUGGGGGCGUGGGGGCGUAGGGGCGCCGCAGACCCCCGCGUCCAGGUCCUGGAUCAGUUCUCUCUUCGCCUUCCCCCCACCACACUCAAUCUUGCACAAAGACGCCUUUCACGCCGCCAGCGCCACCCUCCGCGCCGCCCUCCGGGCCGGCGGCGCUGCCUUCGCCCACCCGCGGCACCAGCCGAUUCCUGGUGGGCGAUUGUGCCACUCGUCGCCAGGCAGGGCGGCAGCGGACGCGUGCGGGCUGUUCCCACUCCGCGCCCCGGCCAAGGCGCCAGAUGCGCUGCCCCCCGCCACGUUCUCUAGCUGCCCGCCGGCAGCCGCAGAAUGCACACCUUUCUCUCCGUAAAUGAUCCUUAAGGGUCUUCCAAGUGUUUCUAAAAUGGGUACAGUGGCGGGAAUGGUCCGCUGGACUUUCGCCGAAAUAAGGAAUCCAGCGAUCUUACCUGACCACCUAAGGUGCCAGUGUGCCUUUACAGCUUAAGAAAGCCAAAGAUAAAGAUUUGGAAAUAAAGAGGGGAGAGAGGGUUUAAAGAGACACCUAAGGCCCAGAGCAAGUGUGUUACAAAGAAUGAGCCCACGAAAUGUUCGAGGGAGGACGGUCGCUUCGAUCAGCGUGGAAGGCGUGGAGGGCAAGAAGAAAGGGAUUAACUUUCUACCUUACAUUGAUCUUCCAAAGUAGAAAAACAAACAAACAAAAAACAUCCCAGAUACUCAGCGGCAGCUAAUUGGCGCGUUCAACGCCUGGAACUAGCGGGCUACUUCUCUUAGUCAAGUCAAAUGCUCAAGUAUCCUGACUCAGGGAGGUCACUUCUUGCCUCCUUAGGCAAGAAUCUACGACCCUCUCCAGCUUUUCUUUGCCUUCUCCUCCCCUAACCCCUCCUUACAGUUUCUCCGGCUAACGCUAGAGGCAGCAUAGGGCAGUGUAAAGAGGACGAGUGGGAAUCCACAGAGGAAGGUCUAGUCCUGACUUUCUGGGUCUGGGCUUUAGGCAACUGAUUUAACGUCUUUGGACCUUGGGGUCACUAUCAAGAAAGGAUGUGUAAGAGGCAUUAAUUAGUAAAAUUUACAUAUCCUUCUCUUUCUUAAAUUCGAUGACAAUGAACGCCCUUCCUCCAAACCUCUGCAGGUUCCUCCUUAGUAUUUUUUUCACCUUGCUUUAUCUUCUCCAAGUGCCAGUCAAAUGGAAAAAAACAUACUGAGAUUGUUUCAAGGUAAAUGUAAGACACAUUGAAACAUACCCUUUUGCAUCUGAGAAUUUAAAAAGAAGAAAAAAAAAACCCCAACUCAGCUCCUGGUUUACAAAAGCAAGGAAUUUUAAUGUCCCCACUUGUUUUGCUUUUGAAAAGCCACUCCAGCAGUCAGCAAAGCACAGCUUUGAUUUAGAAACUAAAGGCUAGUCUCUUGUGUUUUUCUUUUCCCUUCCACCAACACAAAGACAAGCUGCAGCAUAAAAUAAUGAUGAACAAGAGUUCAAAGCAAGCCCAGUGAGCCAGCCCAGAGGAUGUUUUUUAAUGCAGCCCCAGUUCUUCGUCCCUCUCCUGCUAAGCUGAACGGUACAUAAAUAGCAGGCACAAGCUGCCAGAAUUCCCUGUCUCCUCCACUCCUUUCCCAUAAAUAUUGCUCAGUGGAACCUAGAGGCUAACUUGUCAAUCAUCACAUAAAUACAUUCAUCAGAUCAUACGUUUAAUUUUUCUUUAGUUUCAUAAUAUUUUUCAUGAUUUUCAAUUCACCACCCACUUUGGAAACUUGAACAUUAGUUCUCCCUCUGGGUAAGCUUGUCUGUUUUCUGAGAACUUUCUAUGCAACUAAGGCAAAAAAGGGUAAAAUCUCAUAAUGAAGCACUAACUUUUAAAUUACAAAUCUCUUGCUUCAAUUUCAACAACAGAAUUUUAGAAUGGCUUGGCUUUCAUACAAUGCACACUGUUAAAAGUUAUCUAUUAAAGAGGAUUCUUAAGUAUCCCUUUGGGAUACUUUUUUGGGAAAAAAAGUUUCCUUAAACAAUAGUGGUGGCAAAAUAUUCUGAGCUUGUCUAAUUCUGUUGCUUUCAUUUUUUUUUAAGUUAUAUUUUAGGCUCAGUAUGAUGGCUCACACCUGUAAUCCCAGUGCUUUGGGAGGCCAAGGCUGGAGGAUCACUUGAGUCCAGGAGUUAGAGAUGAACCUGGGGAACAUAGCAAGACCUUGUUACUACAAAAUUUUAAAAAAUUAGGAGACGUGGUGGCACACGCCUGUAAUCCUAGCUACUUGGGAAGCUGAAGUAGGAAGAUGACUUGGGCCCAGGAAUUUCAGGUUACAGAGAGCUGUGGUCUGGUCACUGCACUCCAGCCUGGGCAACAAAGUGAGACCCUGUCUCUAAAAAACAGAAGUUAUAUUUUAAUUGGCAAAUAAAACUAUAUAUAGUUAUGGUAUACAACAUAGUGUUUUGAAAUAUGUAUACAUUGUAGAAUGACUGGAUCAAGCUAAUUAACAUAUGCAUUACUUCACAUACUUAUCUUUUUUGUGGCGAGUACAAUUAACAUCUACUCUCAGUGAAUUUCAAGAAUAGAAUACUUUGUUAGUAACUAUAGUCAAAAUGUUAUACAGUAUUCUGUUGCUUUCAGUUGUAUCAAUCUCAACACUCCCAUUGCCUCAUUCAAAUAUGCUAAAACAUUUACAUUUCUAAAUAAACCUUGGAUGUUUCAUUGGUA